AGGAUACGAGGAAGCUUGCGAAUUGUAUCCUUAGUGGCGGACGGGUGAGUAACGCGUGGAUAACCUGCCUAUUAGCUGGGGACAACACCGGGAAACUGGUGCUAAUACCCGAUACGCUCAUAUGGACACAUGUUUGUAUGAGGAAAGGAGCAAUCCGCUAAUAGAUGGAUCCGCGUCCCAUUAGCUAGUUGGAGGUGUAACGGACCCCCAAGGGGGCGAAGGGUAGCCGGCCUGAGAGGGUGGACGGCCACACUGGAACUUUUCCCCGGUCCAGGAACCUACGGGAGGCANCAUCCCGAUCAGGGGUUAAACUCGAGCCUCCAGAAAUUCGGGGAAAAG
rnacentral:sRNA from 1 species